rnacentral:misc_RNA from 1 species
CAGUUGACUGCAUUUGUGGAGCGCUGCAUGUGGACCAAGAGCUUGGUAAGCGCGCGCGGGGACACGAGAUUGAGACGGGAGAGCCCCGACCCGUCCUCGAACUCGAACUCCUUCGCAUCGAGUCCGAUGCUUUGGAGGAACUCUUCCAGCAGCCGCGUGCCGGUCUCGGCACUUCCGCUGCGAUCGUGUUGGAAGGCCACUUCCCGAAGCAGCAGUUCGGCGUGGAGGUUCUGGCUCACCUUGUUGACCACCGUAAUAGCGUCCGCGAGUGGGGCCGACUGCCACUCGGCGAGCGGCACUCCGGAGGGUGGCUGCCAGUCCUCACUGCGAAGCCGGUGGAUCGCCUGGACACCCCCGCGAACAGUGAUCCCUCGUGCCAGGAGGGC